rnacentral:rRNA from 1 species
GGAAACGGCGUCUAAUACUGGAUAUGUGACGUGACCGCAUGGUCUGCGUCUGGAAAGAAUUUCGGUUGGGGAUGGGCUCGCGGCCUAUCAGCUUGUUGGUGAGGUAAUGGCUCACCAAGGCGUCGACGGGUAGCCGGCCUGAGAGGGUGACCGGCCACACUGGGACUGAGACACGGCCCAGACUCCUACGGGAGGCAGCAGUGGGGAAUAUUGCACAAUGGGCGCAAGCCUGAUGCAGCAACGCCGCGUGAGGGACGACGGCCUUCGGGUUGUAAACCUCUUUUAGCAGGGAAGAAGCGAAAGUGACGGUACCUGCAGAAAAAGCGCCGGCUAACUACGUGCCAGCAGCCGCGGUAAUACGUAGGGCGCAAGCGUUAUCCGGAAUUAUUGGGCGUAAAGAGCUCGUAGGCGGUUUGUCGCGUCUGCUGUGAAAUCCGGAGGCUCAACCUCCGGCCUGCAGUGGGUACGGGCAGACUAGAGUGCGGUAGGGGAGAUUGGAAUUCCUGGUGUAGCGGUGGAAUGCGCAGAUAUCAGGAGGAACACCGAUGGCGAAGGCAGAUCUCUGGGCCGUAACUGACGCUGAGGAGCGAAAGGGUGGGGAGCAAACAGGCUUAGAUACCCUGGUAGUCCACCCCGUAAACGUUGGGAACUAGUUGUGGGGUCCAUUCCACGGAUUCCGUGACGCAGCUAACGCAUUAAGUUCC